rfam:Symbiobacterium thermophilum IAM 14863 DNA, complete genome.
CCCCCGCCCUCUGGAGAGCCGCCCUGCGCGGCACCGAAGGAGCAAGGCCUCCCGCACGGCCAAACUCUCAGGUGGAGGAGACAGAGGAACGACC